rnacentral:rRNA from 1 species
CGUAUAUUAAAGUUGUUGCAGUUAAAAAGCUCGUAGUUGGAUUUGUGGCAGGUGCGUGCGGCCCUUCACUAUGUGCGGGUGCUUGUGCGCGCCGCCAUCCUUGGGUGGAGCYUGUGUGGCAUUAGGUUGUCGUGCAGGGGAUGCCCAUCUUUUACUGUGAAAAAAUUAGAGUGUUCAAAGCAGGCUUAUGCCGUUGAAUAUAUUAGCAUGGAAUAAUGAGAUAGGACCUUGGUACUAUUUUGUUGGUUUGCGCACCAAGGUAAUGAUUAAUAGGGACAGUUGGGGGUAUUCGUAUUCCAUUGUCAGAGGUGAAAUUCUUGGAUUUCUGGAAGACGAACUACUGCGAAAGCAUUUACCAAGGAUGUUUUCAUUAAUCAAGAACGAAAGUUAGGGGAUCGAAGAUGAUUAGAUACCAUCGUAGUCUUAACCAUAAACUAUGCCGACAAGGGAUUGGCGGGGUUCUUAUGUCUCCGUCAGCACCUUAUGAGAAAUCACAAGUCUUUGGGUUCCGGGGGGAGUAUGGUCGCAAGG